UUACCAGAGAUGGUUUGGUGCUCGAAAGAGAGCCGUAACACAGGUGCUGCAUGGCUGUCGUCAGCUCGUGUCGUGAGAUGUUGGGUUAAGUCCCGCAACGAGCGCAACCCUUGUCAUUAGUUGCUACGAAAGGGCACUCUAAUGAGACUGCCGGUGACAAACCGGAGGAAGGUGGGGAUGACGUCAAGUCCUCAUGGCCCUUAUAGGUGGGGCUACACACGUCAUACAAUGGCUGGUACAAAGGGUUGCCAACCCGCGAGGGGGAGCCAAUCCCAUAAAGCCAGUCGUAGUCCGGAUCGCAGUCUGCAACUCGACUGCGUGAAGUCGGAAUCGCUAGUAAUCGUGGAUCAGCAUGUCACGGUGAAUACGUUCCCGGGUCUU
rnacentral:rRNA from 1 species